GACGAACGCUGGCGGCGUGCUUAACACAUGCAAGUCGAGCGGUAAGGCCCUUUCGGGGUACGACGAGCGGCGAACGGUGAGUAACACGUGGGUGACCUGCCCUCAGCUCUGGGAUAAGCCUGGGAAACCGGGUCUAAUACUGGAUAUGACUCCAUGACGCAUGUUGUGGGGUGGAAAGCCUUGUGCGGCUGAGGAUGGGCCCGCGGCCUAUCAGCUUGUUGGUGGGGUNANGGCCUACCAAGGCGACGACGGGUAGCCGGCCUGAGAGGGCGACCGGCCACACUGGGACUGAGACACGGCCCAGACUCCUACGGGAGGCAGCAGUGGGGAAUCUUGCGCAAUGGGCGAAAGCCUGACGCAGCGACGCCGCGUGAGGGAUGACGGCCUCGG
rnacentral:rRNA from 1 species